rnacentral:lncRNA from 1 species
CCCCCACUGCACUUUGUACCAAGCUUUAAAAAUAAAAGCCCCCAACCGACGACACUGCGAGCGAGUCAUGCUGUGUUUAACAGCAAUCAUAUGCCUCUGGCUGGCUGGGGCCGCGAAGGGGGAAGAAGGAAGGAACGCUCACGCUCUCUGGCCAGCCGCUAGAUUUAACUAGACGAAGGCGAAGAAGGAAGGAAAGGCAAUGUUUACGUUUCAUCAGCUUCGGUGGGGAGGAGGCACCAGAGGUUUACUUCCGCUCUGUAUUUUAUUCCACUGCAUUUUUGCUGUGCUGUUGACUGGAUAAUUCCCCAAACACCUCUAUCGGCUAGCGACAACAGGAGGGAGAGCUGCAGCAGUGCCUUCUAUGGUUGAAUAAAACAGAAGCGUGUUCAUUCUGCGAAGAGAGA